GUACAGGUUAGACUAGUGGUCAUGGAAUCUGCCCGGUAAGCGGAACACUGUGGGUUCGAUUCCCAUCUCUGGACA
rnacentral:tRNA from 1 species